UCCAUUUCUCCUCUAAGUCUCUCACUCUCUCACCCAAUCACUCAAAACUCACAACAAUCAAGCUUAACUCCAUCGUCUACUAGUAUAUUCGAGCUUGUAUCGCGUUGGACAAAGCUUGGUUCGGUGUAUUGUUGCUUGAUUUGGACUCCGGAAGCUAGGGUUUGCACAAUCUCCUUGAUUUCGGUUUGGAUACUCGAGGUGCUAACCCGGAACCCUAGCUUGCAUUGCUUGGCGUGCUUGGAGUGUGGUCAUUAUUUUUGAAAGCUAACCGAAGGAGUUACUUAUUCAUCGUUGUAAAUUUAUUUUGAAAGAUGUAUUCGUAACUUAAAUUGUAAUUCUUUUGAUUUGGAAUAUUGUAACCCUUAAUCCUCUUUCGACAUUUGAUACUUAUGUUGAUUUGGGGCCGUUGAGCCUAUAUUGUAAUAUUUUGGAAACUUUGUGAAUUUGGAAGCUUAACUAAGGAAAUGAGAACACAGUGA